CAGUUAAAUCACUCUGAAAAUACAAGUUCCCAUUUGAUCACCAAAGUUAAGCAGUGUUGAGCCCAGUCAGUACUUAAAUGGGGAACCGCUUAGAAACACCUGGUACUGUAAG